rnacentral:rRNA from 1 species
GGGGUGCUCGAGUGGCGAACGGGUGAGUAACACGUGAGUAACCUGCCCUUGACUUUGGGAUAACUUCAGGAAACUGGGGCUAAUACCGGAUAGGAGCUCCUGCUGCAUGGUGGGGGUUGGAAAGUUUCGGCGGUUGGGGAUGGACUCGCGGCUUAUCAGCUUGUUGGUGGGGUAGUGGCUUACCAAGGCUUUGACGGGUAGCCGGCCUGAGAGGGUGACCGGCCACAUUGGGACUGAUAUACGGCCCAG